GCCGGGUGUGGUGGUGCACACCUGUAGUCCCAGCUACUCGGGAGGCCGAGGCAGGAGAAUUGCUUGAACCCAGGAGGCGGAGGUUGCAGUGAGCCGAUAUGGCACCACUGCACUCCAGCCUGGGUAACAGAGCAAGACUCCAUCUCAA
rnacentral:SRP_RNA from 1 species